CAAAACCUGGUUGAUCCUGCCAGUAGUCAUAUGCUUGUCUCAAAGAUUAAGCCAUGCAUGUCUUAGUGUAAAUAACUCUUAUGAAACUGCGAAUGGCUCAUUAAAUCAGUUAUCAAAUACGUGAUGGUCGCCUACUACAUGGAUAACCGUAGUAAUUCUAGAGCUAAUACAUGCACAAAGGCCCAUUCACGUGGG
rnacentral:rRNA from 1 species